UUGGCUGGUCAACUAAAGCUGUGACAAUCAUGUAGUGUUUUGCUAGAAAUACUCCAAGAAUUAAGCUGCAGUCUUUUUCCUGUCCCAGUCAAAGGGCUGUACUGUUAAUGUGCAAGGAAUUCCCUUGCAUCACACAUAAUGAAGGGAAGGCAAUACUACCCAGGGCCAGAACAACAGCCCCAGUCAGAAAUGAAGGCUGAGGCUGCACUGGCGGAGUUUAAGCAAGGAUGCUCAAAAGGACUUCUGAAAUUAACUCUGAUUCUUUGCCUAUAGGGUGGGUAUGCAGGUGCACUGGGAACACAGGAUGGAUGAGAUCAGCUGGGCCUGUACUCUGGCUUUGCAGAAAUUCAGGAACUCUGAGGUGGAAAAAAGCCAGUGACCUCCCAACACUGGAAAAGUGAACUCCAGAAGCCUGGGAAAAAGAGUCAGUAAUUCUCAGAGUGCAACACAAGGCUGUCAAGUUCAAUAAAAUGCAGUGAAAAGAAACAGAUUCUCAAAGAUA